UCCGAUAUGGUGUAAUGGCUAACAUCUGACGCUCUCAUUUCCCAAAAAAUCAGGGCACCGUCAAGCUCGGGGUUCGAUUCCCCGUAUCGGAG